GUACUCAGGUAUAAGCGAAUAUAUCUUUCGCCUUUUACUAAAGAUUUGAGUUGUACAACUCAAAUGAGUCUGUAACUAUUUUUUGUUAUGGGUCUGACGUAU